CCUACGGGAGGCAGCAGUGGGGAAUAUUGCACAAUGCGGGAAACCCUGAUGCAGCGACGCCGCGUGAGCGAUGAAGUAUUUCGGUAUGUAAAGCUCUAUCAGCAGGGAAGAAAAUGACGGUACCUGACUAAGAAGCCCCGGCUAAAUACGUGCCAGCAGCCGCGGUAAUACGUAUGGUGCAAGCGUUAUCCGGACUUACUGGGUGUAAAGGGAGCGCAGGCGGCACGGCAAGCCUGAUGUGAAAGCCCGCGGCCCAACCGCGGGACUGCAUUGGGAACUACCGGGCUGGAGUGCCGGAGAGGGAG
rnacentral:rRNA from 1 species